rnacentral:lncRNA from 1 species
UCUGUCUAUUUCUCCUGCAGAGUGAGCUGGACUUGGAAAAGGGCUUGGAGAUGAGAAAAUGGGUCCUGUCGGGAAUCCUGGCUAGCGAGGAGACUUACCUGAGCCACCUGGAGGCACUGCUGCUGCCAUGAAGCCUUUGAAAGCCGCUGCCACCACCUCUCAGCCGGUGCUGACGAGUCAGCAGAUCGAGACCAUCUUCUUCAAAGUGCCUGAGCUCUACGAGAUCCACAAGGAGUUCUAUGAUGGGCUCUUCCCCCGCGUGCAGCAGUGGAGCCACCAGCAGCGGUGCGCCACGUCUUCCUGUUCACCGACCUGCUUCUCUGCACCAAGCUCAAGAAGCAGAGCGGAGGAAAACGCAGCAGUAUGACUGCAAAUGGUACAUUCCGCUCACGGAUCUCAGCUUCCAGAUGGUGGAUGAACUGGAGGCA